GAUGAACGCUGGCGGCGUGCCUAAUACAUGCAAGUCGAGCGAACAGACGAGGAGCUUGCUCCUCUGACGUUAGCGGCGGACGGGUGAGUAACACGUGGAUAACCUACCUAUAAGACUGGGAUAACUUCGGGAAACCGGAGCUAAUACCGGAUAAUAUAUUGAACCGCAUGGUUCAAUAGUGAAAGACGGUUUUGCUGUCACUUAUAGAUGGAUCCGCGCCGCAUUAGCUAGUUGGUAAGGUAACGGCUUACCAAGGCAACGAUGCGUAGCCGACCUGAGAGGGUGAUCGGCCACACUGGAACUGAGACACGGUCCAGACUCCUACGGGAGGCAGCAGUAGGGAAUCUUCCGCAAUGGGCGAAAGCUUGACGGAGCAACGCCGCGUGAGUGAUGAAGGUCUUCGGAUCGUAAAACUCUGUUAUUAGGGAAGAACAAAUGUGUAAGUAACCAUGCACGUCUUGACGGUACCUAAUCAGAGAGCCACGGCUAACUACGUG
rnacentral:rRNA from 1 species